rnacentral:rRNA from 1 species
GAUGAACGCUGGCGGCGUGCCUAAUACAUGCGAGUCGAGCGAACGGACGAGAAGCUUGCUUCUCUGAUGUUAGCGGCGGACGGGUGAGUAACACGUGGAUAACCUACCUAUAAGACUGGGAUAACUUCGGGAAACCGGAGCUAAUACCGGAUAAUAUUUUGAACCGCAUGGUUCAAAAGUGAAAGACGGUCUUGCUGUCACUUAUAGAUGGAUCCGCGCUGCAUUAGCUAGUUGGUAAGGUAACGGCUUACCAAGGCAACGAUGCAUAGCCGACCUGAGAGGGUGAUCGGCCACACUGGAACUGAGACACGGUCCAGACUCCUACGGGAGGCAGCAGUAGGGAAUCUUCCGCAAUGGGCGAAAGCCUGACGGAGCAACGCCGCGUGAGUGAUGAAGGUCUUCGGGUCGUAAAACUCUGUUAUUAGGGAAGAACAUAUGUGUAAGUAACUGUGCACAUCUUGACGGUACCUAAUCAGAAAGCCACGGCUAACUACGUG